UCGAGAAUUUUUCUCAAUGGGGGAAACCCUGAAGGAGCGACGCCGCGUGGAGGAUGAAGGCUUUCGGGUUGUAAACUCCUGUCAUUUGGGGACAAUGCGUAUUUAUUAACUGUAGAUACGUUGAUAGUACCAGAAGAGGAAGGGACGGCUAACUCUGUGCCAGCAGCCGCGGUAAUACAGAGGUCCCGAGCGUUGUUCGGAUUCAUUGGGCGUAAAGGGUGCGUAGGUGGCGCCGUAAGUCGGGUGUGAAAUUUCGGAGCUUAACUCCGAAACUGCAUUCGAUACUGCGGUGCUUGAGGACUGGAGAGGAGACUGGAAUUCAUGGUGUAGCAGUGAAAUGCGUAGAGAUCAUGAGGAAGACCAGUGGCGAAGGCGGGUCUCUGGACAGUUCCUGACACUGAGGCACGAAGGCCAGGGGAGCAAACGGGAUUAGAUACCCCCGUAGUCC
rnacentral:rRNA from 1 species